rnacentral:snoRNA from 1 species
AAGCAAUGAUGAGUGAAGUAUUCUCUGAACUGGUAUUGCUGAGACUUUUUUGUCUUUGCUCUGACCAGGGCAUGAUCACGUAAUCUUCUCUCUGAGCUU